UACGGAGGGUGCAAGCGUUAUCCGGAUUCACUGGGUUUAAAGGGUGCGUAGGUGGGCAGGUAAGUCAGUGGUGAAAUCUCCGGGCUUAACCCGGAAACUGCCGUUGAUACUAUAGGUCUUGAAUUAUCUGGAGGUGAGCGGAAUAUGUCAUGUAGCGGUGAAAUGCUUAGAUAUGACAUAGAACACCAAUUGCGAAGGCAGCUCACUACGGAUAUAUUGACACUGAGGCACGAAAGCGUGGGGAUCAAACAGG
rnacentral:rRNA from 1 species